CAAANAGGGGGAUAACACUUGGAAACAGGUGCUAAUACCGCAUAACCAUAGUUACCGCAUGGUAACUAUGUAAAAGGUGGCUAUAGCUACCGCUUUUGGAUGGGCCCGCGGCGCAUUAGCUAGUUGGUGGGGUAAAGGGCUUACCAAGGCAAUGAUGCGUAGCCGAACUGAGAGGUUGAUCGGCCACAUUGGGACUGAGACACGGCCCAAACUCCUACGGAAGGCAGCAG
rnacentral:rRNA from 1 species